GGGCCCGUGGCUUAGUCUGGAGCUGGUCAUAAUAAUGAUCAACGGAUCAUUAGAGCACACGACUGAUAAUCGUGCGGUCCCGUGUUCAAAUCACGGCGGGCCCA
rnacentral:tRNA from 1 species